rnacentral:rRNA from 1 species
AACGAACGCUGGCGGCAUGCCUAACACAUGCAAGUCGAACGAGACCUUCGGGUCUAGUGGCGCACGGGUGCGUAACGCGUGGGAACCUUCCCUUAGGUUCGGAAUAACUCCCCGAAAGGGGUGCUAAUACCGGAUAAUGUCUUCGGACCAAAGAUUUAUCGCCUUUGGAUGGGCCCGCGUUGGAUUAGCUAGUUGGUAGGGUAAAAGCCUACCAAGGCGACGAUCCAUAGCUGGUCUGAGAGGAUGAUCAGCCACACUGGGACUGAGACACGGCCCAGACUCCUACGGGAGGCAGCAGUGGGGAAGAUUGGACAAUGGGCGAAAGCCUGAUCCAGCAAUGCCGCGUGAGUGAUGAAGGCCUGAGGGUUGUAAAGCUCUUUUACCCGGGAUGAUAAUGACAGUACCGGGAGAAUAAGCUCCGGCUAACUCCGU